CUGGCCCAACGCUCCCAACCGCUAGGCUACCUGCCGCCCCUUUUCAUCAACAAUGGACACAUGCAUUUUGGAAAAGUAUUUUAUUGCUAUGUAUAACAAACGUACAUAACAACGUACAAAUCAGUCAUUCAUUAAUUAAAUCGUUUUGCAGUUAUUCAGUCAAGGUGCUUGUUCUAAAAUGAAGGGACGUCCAAUCGAACGUUAUUUUCCAGUUUGUUGCUUUUCUCAUGUACUCACUAUCUCUUCUUAUGUUUGUUUGAGAGACCUGUAGUCACAUGGUCUAUUAAUAUAAUUCUGUUUGAGAGACCUGUAGUCACAUGGUCUAUGAAUAUAAUUAUGUUUGAGAGACCUGUAGUCACAUGGUCUAUUAAUAUAAUUCUGUUUGAGAGACCUGUAGUCACAUGGUCUAUUAAUAUAAUUCUGUUUGAGAGCUCUGUAGUCACAUGGUCUAUUAAUAUAAUUCAGGAGCAUUAGAUGGGCGUGUCCUUACAGCUGUUUACCUGGUGUUGUCUCGACAACCGGCACAGGUGAUUUUAGAUAUUGCAAAGGUUCAAUUCCUGGAGGUAGGAGACCCAGAAGGGAGGGAGGGUGACAUCACAUACUUACUACGGCACAGGUCUAGGAUGUGUGUUACUACAUGUUUUGGUUGACCUUAGAGAGAGAAGGACUGGAGCACACAGCUAUAGGAAUAUUAGCCAGUGCCACUGGGGAGAACCCAGAGGAGUAUCAGCAAAGGAUCAUGGGAGAUAGAGUCCAGAGACAACUGCUGACUUCCUACAAAGAGGAGCUGGUCAGAGCUGCAUAGAGUUCUCCUGUGUUUCAGAGACCUACAGUGGUGCGGUCCAAUGAGGUGGAGGAGAGGGAGGCUACAGAUUCCAGUGGAGGAAGGAGGACAGGCAAAGAAUCGUCUGUGACAGAUUGGAGCUCUUCGUCGCCAUAGUGACGGGGUUGUUGAUGGGGGUCCUGACAGGUGGUUUUGGGGGUGUUGUCAUGGGAGGGUUGACGGGGGCGGUGAUAUGGUUUACAACAGGACUGGUCAGGAACUGGUGGAGCCCCUGAUUCACUGGGAGGCACCAUGUGUACUGCAUCUUAUGGAGGCUUCAAAAAGCAUUCAUAUAGGCUUCAUAAGCACUACAUAAAUCGGUCACAAAUCAUCUAUAAUCAUUUUUCAUGCUCUAUAAAAGAUGAAUAAAUGUGAACAAAUACAUUGAUGGUUUUGUCACACAGCUAUGCCACAUUAUGAAUCUUUAUAGAGCAUGAUGUACGGUUAUAGAUUAUUUGUGAAGCAUUUACGUAGUGUUUAUGAAGCCAAUAUGAAGCAUUUAUAAGAUGCACUUCAAAUAAAGCGGGACCCUACUUUUAAAAACUAUUCUUAUGUAUAUAGAUGGAAGGACUUUGGUGGUGGAUCAUGUUUCUUGAUGCAAUUAUCAAACUUUGGUUAUUAAAUAUUUGGAAAUUAAUAAAAGCCCAAUAAAGACAUAAAAUAUACAGAGCAUAUAUUGAUUAUUUUAAAAGAUAGAUGAAACCCUAAUAUUCAUCACCAGUGCUAGCCUACUUCUGUUAAGUCAGUCCUGAUAUGGGUCUGAACCUGUUAGUCAUCAAGGGAUUAAAAGAGAGAUUCAUCCAGCAAUAUCUUUCCCUGAUUUCAUCUGACCAAGUAUUCAGAUAUUGUGUGACAGGAGUUCAAAAUCAAAUCAAAUGUUAUUUGUCACAUGCGCCGAACACAACAGGUGUGUAGACCUUACAGUGAAAUGCUUACUUACAACAACAACACAUGACCAGUGCUUAAAUUGUAAAUCGGGUGGUGACAAAAUAAUCACCUUUAUAAUAAAGCACUGCAUGCACAUCAUGGCAUUUGCGUAGUGGCAUAGAGCAGUAGAGUAGAGGAUCUUACAGAAGUUGCACACAUGGGGGGAUUUUACUUGGGUCCGCGAAGAAUUUGGCCUUAUAUAAACACAUUUCAUGCAAUUCUACCUCAUUUUAUAUGACUGGAGACUAGCAGAAUAUUUU